rnacentral:lncRNA from 1 species
AAAAGAAUGAAUUUCAGAGUCUGAAGAUCAGUCUUUCAAAUUAUCUGAGUCAGACAAAAAUUUUAAAAAAAUUUAAAAAUGAUACAAUAAUAGUAGGGGGCUUCAACACUCUACUGACAGCACUAGAUAGAUCAUUGAGGCAGACAACUAACAAAGAAACUCUGGACUUAAAUUGGACUUUUGACCAAAUGGACCUACCAGACAUCUACAGAAUAAUCCACCCAACAACCACAGGAUAUACAUUCUCAUCUGUGCAUGGAACAUUUUCUAAAAUUGACCACAUGCUUCAUCAUAAAGCAAGUCCCAAUAAAUUCAAAAUAACUGAAAUCAUAUAAAGCAUCUUCUGGGACCACAGUGGAAUUAAAUUAGAAAUAAAUAUCAAGAGGAACUCUCAAAACCAUACAAGUACACGGAAACUAAAAAGUCUUGUUUCCGAAGAACUUUGGGUAAACAACAAAGUUAAGAUGGAAAUAAGAAAAAUUUUUGACACAAAUAAAAAUAGAGAGAAAACAUACCCGAACCUCUGGAAUACAGCAAAAGCAGUGGUAAGAGGAAAGUUUGUAGUAAUAAAUGCCUACAUCAGAAAGAUACAAAGGUCCCCAAUUAACAACCUAACAUGACACCCAAAACAAGCAAAACAAGAACAAACCAAACCUAAAGUUAGCAGAAGAAAAGAAAUAACAAAGGUUAGAGCAGAACUAAAUGAAAUUUAGAGCAAAAAAAUUAUGCAAAGGAUCAACAAAAUGAACAGUUGUUUCUUCAAAAGGAUAAACAGAAUUGAUAGACCAGCAGCUAGAUUAACCAAGAAAAAAAGAGAGAAGGUUCAAAUAAGCACAAUAUCAAAUGACCAGGGUGACAUUACAACUGAAACUACAAAAGAUCAAAAGGAAUACAAAAGUUCCUCAGAGACUAUUAUGAACAUCUCCAUGCACACAAAUUAGAAAAUGCAGAGGAAACAGAUAAUUUCCUGGAAACACGCAACCUUCCAAGACUGAACCAGGAAGCCAUAAAAAGAAUGAAACCAUGUUCUUUGCAGCAACACGGAUGCAGCUAGAGGCAAUUAUCUUAAGUGAACUAAUGAAGAAACAGAAAACCACAUACCACAUGUUCUCACUUAUAAGUGGGAGCAAUAUAAUAGCUACACAUGGUCAUAUAGGUGGGAACAACAGACAACAG